rnacentral:rRNA from 1 species
CGUAUCACCCAAGACAACUUUGCGGAGUUGACGAUUGACGGAGCGAAGCGACGUCAAAGCGUUCAUUAAAGUCGAGUUGGCUUAGGGAUACGUUCGUUGGGUAGGGGAGCGUUCUGUAAGCCUGUGAAGGUGGCCUGUGAGGGUUGCUGGAGGUAUCAGAAGUGCGAAUGCUGACAUAAGUAACGAUAAAGCGGGUGAAAAGCCCGCUCGCCGGAAGACCAAGGGUUCCUGUCCAACGUUAAUCGGGGCAGGGUGAGUCGACCCCUAAGGCGAGGCCGAAAGGCGUAGUCGAUGGGAAACGGGUUAAUAUUCCCGUACUUGGUGUUACUGCGAAGGGGGGACGGAGAAGGCUAUGUUGGCCGGGCGACGGUUGUCCCGGUUUAAGCGUGUAGGUGUGUGUUCCAGGUAAAUCCGGUUCACUUUAACACUGAGGCGUGACGACGAGGCACUACGGUGCUGAAGCAACAAAUGCCCUGCUUCCAGGAAAAGCCUCUAAGCAUCAGGUAACAUCAAAUCGUACCCCAAACCGACACAGGUGGUCAGGUAGAGAAUACCAAGGCGCUUGAGAGAACUCGGGUGAAGGAACUAGGCAAAAUGGUGCCGUAACUUCGGGAGAAGGCACGCUGACACGUAGGUGAAGUGAUUUACUCAUGGAGCUGAAGUCAGUCGAAGAUACCAGCUGGCUGCAACUGUUUAUUAAAAACACAGCACUGUGCAAACACGAAAGUGGACGUAUACGGUGUGACGCCUGCCCGGUGCCGGAAGGUUAAUUGAUGGGGUCAGCGCAAGCGAAGCUCCUGAUCGAAGCCCCGGUAAACGGCGGCCGUAACUAUAACGGUCCUAAGGUAGCGAAAUUCCUUGUCGGGUAAGUUCCGACCUGCACGAAUGGCGUAAUGAUGGCCAGGCUGUCUCCACCCGAGACUCAGUGAAAUUGAACUCGCUGUGAAGAUGCAGUGUACCCGCGGCAAGACGGAAAGACCCCGUGAACCUUUACUAUAGCUUGACACUGAACAUUGAGCCUUGAUGUGUAGGAUAGGUGGGAGGCUUUGAAGUGUGGACGCCAGUCUGCAUGGAGCCGACCUUGAAAUACCACCCUUUAAUGUUUGAUGUUCUAACGUGGACCCGUUA